CAUGAAGCUGGAAUCGCUAGUAAUCGCGAAUCAGAAUGUCGCGGUGAAUACGUUCCCGGGUCUUGUACACACCGCCCGUCACACCAUGGGAGUCGGAAAUGCCCGAAGUCAGUGACCCAACCGCAAGGAGGGAGCUGCCGAAGGUGGAGCCGGUAACUGGGGUGAAGUCGUAACAAGGUAGC
rnacentral:rRNA from 1 species